UUUUAUAUUAUUUUUUCCAAUUUAGAAAAUGGUUAAUUUUGAAUUAGUAUAACAUAAUGUUUGUUUUGAAAGGUCUUAUUAUUAAACAAUUGAUUAGGUUUCAAACCAUGUCAAACCAACUUCAAAAUAUCACAUAAUUCUCGAUUCAAUAUCGAGCCUCCAUUUUUCAUACCUUCGUAAGUCGAUUGCUCUUAGUAUCGCCAUCAACCUCACAUAGCUUACUCUUGGGCUUUCUUACAAUGAGACCUAUUCGAU
rnacentral:lncRNA from 1 species